rnacentral:rRNA from 1 species
UACGUAGGGUGCGAGCGUUAUUCGGAUUUACUGGGCGUAAAGCGUGUGUAGGUGGUAUCCUGCGUCCCCGAUUAAAGAUCCAAGCUCAACUUGGGGAGUGUUGGGGAUACGAGGAUACUAGAGGUUUGCAGGGGCAGAUGGAAUUCCUGGUGUAGCAGUGAAAUGCGUAGAUAUCAGGAAGAACACCGAUGGCGAAAGCAGUCUGCUGGGCAACACCUAACACUGAGACACGAAAGCGUGGGGAGCGAACGGG